rnacentral:lncRNA from 1 species
AAUAUGGAACUAGAGAACAGAUUUAGCCCCAGCCCUGCAGCUGCUUGCUUUCCCGUUUGACCUGAGGACGGCUGGUGCGUGCUCUGCGUGGUGCUGUCCAGCGUGCUGAACUCCUUGUUUUUAAGAACCUUAGUUCCUUCUCUCCUGGAAAACAGCCAUAAUGAAGACACCACAGGAGCUGGCUUGGAAGAUAGGCUGCAGGAUAACCCUGGCCAGCAAAGCGAU